rnacentral:rRNA from 1 species
UCGGCGAGCCUGCCUUUUGGCUGCCGGGGGACGUCUGUCCCCGGGUCCGCGCUCGCCGAAGACACCUUAGAACUCUGUCUGAAGAUUGUAGUCUGAGAUUAAAUAUAAAUUAUUUAAAACUUUCAACAACGGAUCUCUUGGUUCCGGCAUCGAUGAAGAACGCAGCGAAAUGCGAUACGUAAUGUGAAUUGCAGAAUUCAGUGAAUCAUCGAGUCUUUGAACGCACAUUGCGCCCUCUGGUAUUCCGGAGGGCAUGCCUGUCCGAGCGUCAUUGCUGCCCUCAAGCACGGCUUGUGUGUUGGGCUCCGUCCUCCUUCCGGGGGACGGGCCCGAAAGGCAGCGGCGGCACCGCGUCCGGUCCUCAAGCGUAUGGGGCUUUGUCACCCGCUUUGUAGGACUGGCCGGCGCCUGCCGAUCAACCAAACUUUUUUCCAGGUUGACCUCGGAUCAGGUAGGGAUACCCGCUGAAC